rnacentral:rRNA from 1 species
UACAGAGGCGGCAAGUGUUGUUCGGAAUUACUGGGCGUAAAGGGCGAGUAGGUGGCCAUCUAAGUCAGACGUGAAAUCCCCCGGCUUAACCUGGGAACUGCGUCUGAUACUGGACGGCUAGAGUAUGGGAGAGGGAUGUGGAAUUCCAGGUGUAGCGGUGAAAUGCGUAGAUAUCUGGAGGACACCGGUGGCGAAGGCGGCAUCCUGGACCGGUAUUGACGCUGAGGCG